UGAAUCUGGUGUCCCAAAGACGACGAGAACUAAUGAUGAUCUGAAAAUCACACCAAGUACUUGCGGUGGUGCGAGUGAUCGUCUUGCUGUAUCAGAAGCUAUGAGAUUUGAUGAUGACCAAAAUAUCCCAUCAGCACUCGCGAUGGUGCGAGCUAUCGUCUUCUCAUGCCGAAGGCUCUGGAAUCCGCAAAAGCCAUUUUACGUCAAGUCUUCAGUGAAGAAUCGACGAUUUGAACAUCAAAUCGGUGAUUACUUCGUAAAUGUCGUACUGGAAAGGAGUGGAAUUGAUGUCUUAGAUGUGCUAUGAGGGUCCCCUUUUAUAGGGCCUCGGGUGGCGACAUCUGCGAUGGAGAUCACGCCUGACCAAAUUGGCGAUUUACCUGAUCAAAUUGGCGAUUUGGGGGGUUUGACUUUUGUCUCGACGUAUACCAUUGGUUCUUCUUUCGUGGGAGCCUUCUGAAGGUCCGGCUUAUAAAAAACGAAACCCUAGUUUCUGUUGAUGGAAAGGAUAUGUGUACAGUCUUGUAUAAUCAGGAUCCACGACACGCCCUUUACGUUAAGUUUUUUGGGUAAAAUCGACGAUUACAGUAGGUAAUAUGAGAUUUCUUCAUGAAUGUCGCUUUAGAAAGUAUGGAAUUGAUGCCUUGGAUGUGCUUUUGGAUCCCUUUUUAUAGGGCCUCUGAGGGCACUAUCUGCGUCGAAGAUCGUGGUUUGGCUAUUAGAUGGCCAGACUGGACUCAAAGCAACAUCUUUCAAAUCAUCGAUUUGGGCAGGUGAAUCGGCGAUUCCUAGAGAAAAUCACCUAGUACCUUUGGGAUGGCUCUCUAGGUGACAUCCACUGUGGAUUAGGUAUUUUCUCCUAGAAUCGACGAUUUCGAUCACCAGACAAAUCGACAAAUUGGGGAGACUUUGAGUCUUCUACGUAGAUCUUUGGUUCCCCUUUAUUUCGUGAAUGCCUUUCGGGAUCCGAUGUAAAGCGAAUGCAACCCUAACUCUUGUUGAUGGAAAGGACAAGUGUACAAUCACCACUUGGAAGUUUCCUUGAAGCUUUGCUUCCUCAUGAAUGAGCAAAUCUCUCCAAAUUCUCCUUGUUUGACCUUUGUAUAUCUUCUCAAGAUUCAAUCACUUAUCGCAUUUCAACAUAUGAUAUCUAUCACACAAGAGCAUUAAUCAUUAGUAUCAAAUAAGAUCUCCAUAACAUUUAGCUAAUCAAUGUGCAAAGGACAUAGGAUGGUGGACUUGUGACGGAUUUCUGUCAUGACAAGUGCAGUACUUUUGAUGGCGAAAAUCCGCCAUCAAUGAGAUCUUAGCUAAUCAAUACAUAUCAAAUGAGAUCUUAGAUUUUUCUAAUCGUUAAUCAUGUAUAGGAUCAUAAUGUAUAGGAUCAUAAUGUAUAGGAUUUUUCUAAUUUAAUCAAGAAUGAAUUUCAUUUAUAGCCACUUUAGAUGGCUUGGAAAGCAGAAAUACCCACUGAACCUGUUAAUUCACUAUUAAAUGUCAUGAUUAGAUAAUUUUUUUUCCAAAUAUACCCUUUUAUUGUUUAAUGAUAAAUGAUUGGACCAACCCGUUUACCCGUGAU
rnacentral:lncRNA from 1 species